GGGAGCGAACAGGAUUAGAUACCCUGGUAGUCCACGCCGUAAACGGUGGGCGCUAGUUGUGCGAACCUUCCACGGUUUGUGCGACGCAGCUAACGCAUUAAGCGCCCCGCCUGGGGAGUACGAUCGCAAGAUUAAAACUCAAAGGAAUUGACGGGGCCCCGCACAAACAGCGGAGCAUGCGGCUUAAUUCGACGCAACGCGAAGAACCUUACCAAGGCUUGACAUAUACAGGAAUACGGCUGAGAUGUCGUAGCCGCAAGGUCUGUAUACAGGUGGUGCAUGGUUGUCGUCAGCUCGUGUCGUGAGAUGUUGGGUUAAGUCCCGCAACGAGCGCAACCCUCGUUCUGUGUUGCCAGCAUUUAGUUGGGGACUCACAGGAGACUGCCGGGGUUAACUCGGAGGAAGGUGGGGAUGACGUCAAAUCAUCAUGCCCCUUAUGUCUUGGGCUGCACGCAUGCUACAAUGGCUGGUACAAACGGCUGCGAUACCGCAAGGUGGAGCGAAUCCGAGAAAGCCAGUCUCAGUUCGGAUUGGGGUCUGCAACUCGACCCCAUGAAGUCGGAGUUGCUAGUAAUCGUAGAUCAGCAACGCUACGGUGAAUACGUUCCCGGGGCUUGUACACACCGCCCGUCACAUCACGAAAGU
rnacentral:rRNA from 1 species